AUUGAACGCUGGCGGCAGGCCUAACACAUGCAAGUCGAACGAGUGGCGGACGGGUGAGUAAUGUCUGGGAAAGUGCCUGAUGGAGGGGGAUAACUACUGGAAACGGUAGCUAAUACCGCAUACCAUCGGAUGUGCCCAGAUGGGAUUAGCUAGUGGGUGGGGUAAAGGCUCACCAAGGCAACGAUCCCUAGCUGGUCUGAGAGGACGACCAGCCACACUGGAACUGAGACACGGUCCAGACUCCUACGGGAGGCAGCAGUGGGGAAUCUUGGACAAGGGGCGAAAGCCUGAUGCAGCCAUGCCGCGUGUGUGAUGAAGGCCUUCGGGUUGUAAAGCACGUUCGGCAGAGAAGCGGUACUCGCAGAAUAAGCACCGGCUAACUACGUGCCAGCAGCCGCGGUAAUUC
rnacentral:rRNA from 1 species